rnacentral:misc_RNA from 1 species
UCCCCGUUACCGGGGCAGUUUGAAUAGAAAAAUACAACUAUUCACAAGGGUUGCGCUCGUUGAUGGACUUAACCAAACAUCUCACGACACGAGCUGACGACGGCCAUGCAUCACCUGUCACUUGGUUCCAAAAGGCACACUCUACUUUCGCAGAGCUCCCAAGGAUGUCAAGUCCUGGUAAGGUUUAUCGUUUAGCAUCGAAUUAAAGAACACGAUCCACUACUUGUGCGGGUCCCCGUCAAUUCCUUUAUGUUUUAGUCUUGCGACCGUACUCCACAGGCGGGAUACUUAACGCGUUAGCUUUACUACUAGAGGGGUCGAUACCUCUAACAGUUAGUAUCCAUCGUUUACGGCGUGGACUAC